AUAUAAUGAAACAACAUUGUGGAGAGGAAAGCAUUAGGGGAGCCCACGGCUACAAAAACAAGUGAGUGAGAAGAGGUGGGAGGAAGAGAAACUACGCCACCUCUCCUGCAGCUGAGCCGCGCGCAGCAGCAGCCCGGGGGAAGUGGGCGACGCCGGGGGGAAGGGAGACCGGGUCCCCAGCCCCAGCCGGGGGACCCCGCCGCCCACUGCCGAGAGAACAACUUUUAGCCGGCAGCCUCAGCCAGCACUGCACCUGUCUCCGAAGCCUCCAUCGUUUCUCGUGAUGGUCAAGGGGAAAUUCUAGAAGAAUAUGCUCUACAAAAUAUACAUGCGCAUCAUUUUCCCCCUUGCGUCUCACGCUGGAGGAAGGAAAGAGAAAGGGAUUUAAGCAGCAGCGUGUCUUCAGCCCCAAGCACCACCAAGCUGCCCUGGAAUGGAACUUCUGCUCAGUUCUUGGAUUGAGGGUUGGAGGAGGAGUUUACUUCAUUCAUUCUCAGGGACUCUUAACUGUUGCAAAAAUAUCUGCCUCUGAGAGCUCAGGAGGAUCUGCUUUGUGGGAGCAAAGGUAGUGAGUCAUACCUGGAAGCUUGCGCCUCUUCAUCCAGUCAAGUCUCCUAGGCAACAGUUUAUGCAGCACUUAAAAGAUGAGGAGUUAAGAGGAGAAAAUGGAAAAAAAAAAACAACAGAAGUACUUUUAAUGGAACAGAAUAAACCACUGAACAGGUACCAGAAAUUAUUAGGAGUUGGGUACAACAUAAUUAAACGAGUUAAUAUUUGUGAAGUCCUUAGAAGGUUACCUGGCAUGUUUAAAUAACUGCAUACGUGUUUGCUAUUAUUAAGUUCCUUUAAAUGUACCUUAGCCCAGAACAAAUCAGUAGUACAGCCAAGAACUACCCAACAACAACAACAAAAAACCCUUUUCCCCUAAAGCAAGUGUGAACAUCAUUGGUAAAUGCUGUCAUGGUCUCUGUAUGACUUGUUAUAGUGGUCUGAGAAACUUAAUUUCUUAAUCUCUGAGCCCUCUGAGUGUUUGAAUACCCAUUCAUUUUUGGUUUUGAGCACUCAUUCAUGAUGACUUUUAAGUGUCAGAUCAGUUUCAAUUUUUUGGAAUAAAGCAAGCUUCCUUAAAAUUCUCCAAGAGCUUUUCAUGUGGGGAGGUGGCUUCAUUUUCAGGGAGGCGCCGAGGUAGCCUGUGGAUAGUUAGUAAAGACAGAGGUGACAGCAUGAAGAUCCGCACUCACAUUUUCUGAGGGCGCCAGUGAUUACCUGGAAUAAGACGUUUCAACCUGCUGCCCCUGCCCCCGCACUAACUUCCCAUCAUAAAACUGCCGGUGUUACUGAGGGCUACCGACACUUUCAACAAACACUGAUAAGGGGCAAAUUAUGUGCCAAGUAUUGUGCUUGGCCUUGAACGUGUCUCCUCUCUCCUCACCCACCCACCUCUCCGGAUCGGCACCAGCUCCUGCCGCCUUCACCGCGCUGUGGGGAGACCUGGCUCCCCCGGCAUCCGGAGGGAUGCUUUCCGUGCCACCGUCCGUCCGUCUGUCUCUCCGGCUCCUCCCCCUCCGCACCCGAGCACUGCUCAUUCAGGCGGGGGAGGCACGCUGGGAGGCAGGCCCUGUGGUUUGAUACUGCUUUAGACGGCCGUCUUCCCCCAGAUUGCUGUGUCACAGUGUACACAGUUCCUUUAAAUGCCCCGUUGUUUCAUGUUUUGCCGUGUUUCCCCUCUGCGAUCUGGGGAUAUGACCUUGGGAAGUUACUUUUCUGUUCGGAGGUGUUCCGGAAGUGUAACUUGAGAGAGGCGGGCGCUGGUGGUGGGCUCGGUGUGUCAGUGGUUCUCAAACCUUUUUCUUGGAACCCCCAGGAAGUGUCAUGUUAGGACCCCGUGCGCCCACUUCCACGUGUGGAUGUGUGGAUUCCCGACACACCUUUACCGUAUGAGGGCUGCGAUAGAGUUUUCUAGUCUGUCCGAUUUCCUAUCACGUUUUCUUUUCUCCCUCCUCUUUUCUUUGGAGCGCUCCUCAUAACCCACUAGUCAGCUGCGCUUCGGCAGCGCGAGGUAUUUUUGUGCGGUGGUGGGGCACCUGCUUUUUCUUGCCUUUCUCUCCAUUUUCUGUGGUAAUGUGCCUAAGUCUCUUUUAUCCAUAAAUGUGCUCCCCCCCCAACUUGCCAUAACUUAAUUCUUUAUGUGUGAAACUCUUUCCCUAACUUAGCUCCUGUUUUUGUUUUCUCAUGUACCAUUCACUGCUCAAUAUUACAGUGAUUCACAAUAUUUUAGUGACUUCUGUGGAAUGCUAGCAAAAUUCUUGUUGAUUUGAGGCCAUGUAUUUAUAAAGGAAUCAUAAUUACGUACACCUAGGAUUAUUCAGUAUGCUCAACAAAUUUUCGUGGUUGUAAUGUGCAAAUGGUUCUUGUAAUUAAAGAUAAACUAAUAUUCAGCUGUCUUUGAGGAAUAUUUCUAAGGUUUAUAGGCAAUAAAUGAGACAGCAAAUCCUAGUUUUCUGUAUUAAAAAUAUGUCAUUUGAGUAGUCUUAGAAAUUUCUAAAUAUUCUGUUAUUGAAGCCAAGGCAACGUUGUUCUCUUGGUUCUUUGAGUAAUUAAGCCUUCCCAUGUAGUUAUGAAUACAGCAUAUUUGCCAAAAACUUUUAGCCAAAUAUUAUACUAUAGUAUAACAUUAUAUUAUAAUACUUAACCACAUAUUAUAGAUUAAUACAUUUCUACAUUUUACAAUUAUUUUAAAUGUCACAUUAGACGAUUUGAGUUACUUUGUUUUGCAGAAUCUAAGGUUUGAAAAUAUUGAGAAAAGAGAAUAAAGCAGACUUUGACAGCUAGUAGAUGUUAAGGUGUAUUUAUCAAAAUCUUUUGAAAAAAUCAUCUAGGAUUUCGUUUUGAUUUUUCUUUUUUUCCAUUUACUUUCUAAAGCAAUUUUAAAUGAAUCAUAAAGUAUUUUUUCCAGUAAAUAAAUAGAUCAUGUACAAUAAUAAAACUUUCUGAUGUUUUCUUCUUAGCCAUAAUUAAGGGACUAAACUAACUCCUUCCUGGACAUCUGUUCUUCAGAUAUAUUCUUCCUUCUUUUACUCACUAAUUACUUUGAAGAUUAAUUAAAUCAGUACAGUAGUCUGUAGCCAUGUGCAUUUGUACCAUUUGGGUUAGGAUGCAAUUAAUGUAUCAUCUCUGCCUGGAAGAGGACCAUGGAGGGUGCCAGUGAUGCAGUGGCACUUUUCUGGCAGUCAUACCAUCUUGAGGCAGUUGAAGGCCAGUCCUAGGAACAUGCUGGAGGGGCUGAACUGGUAGGUGAUCCAGAGCCCUCUACAAAUUGAGGAAAAACAAAAGGGAAUACUCAUAGAGCUAACGGUGGAAGGGCCUGUCUCGGAAAAACGGAAUAAGCAGCUCAUAUAUAAAUAAUCCACGAGGACAGAUCCUUCCAGCCUUUCCUGAAGCAGCUGCAGCUCCCUCAUCACGUUGCCACUGCCCCUAAGACUGUACAGCCUUGGUCUCUCUACCAUUACAGAUGGUUCUUUCUGUUUCUUUCCACUCUCUUCCUCUUGCCUUUUGAGGCACUUACUACUUGUUCUCAUACCUCUCUGAUGACCUCUUCCAAGCAACUUCAUAAGUGACCCUAAAAUUUUGGUCUGAACCCUGGGUCUUCCCCUUGUCCUAUUCCGUUCCUGGCUGGUGAACUCACAGCAUUAGCACAUCCUAGGCAGGGGCAGGGGCUUGGAAAGUAGUGAGAGAGAGCAUUCAAAUAAAUACUUUAAAACUACUUCAGUUGAAUCCCUACUUUUUGAAAAAAUCAAAAAACCAUGAAAAGCCUUUAACUAGAAAACCUUUUUUUGUUGUUGUUACUUGGAAGUAAUUCCAAGAGUGAAUUCAAGUCCAUUUUGUCCUUGUUUACUCCUAGUACACAGUACAUGCCUGGAAACCAGUAGAAAAACACCAGAAUGGGUAGGUUUACCCCGCAGCCUUGAGACUACACAGAGCUGGAGCUGAAUCCUUGCCCCCGGCCUGGCUCCCUUCCUGGGCCUUUUUCCUCCCCGCUCCUACUUCAGAAGGUAAAGCACGGAUCACAGGUCACGGGUGUACCAGCUUCAGAGAGUAGCAGGACUGAAAAGGGUUCAAAGGGACAAAUUAUGGCAGAAAUCUAAACAGUAUUUGGGAACAUAAGAUAGUGUGAGCUUAAUAACCCCAAACAAGAACAACAUGUGUUUUUAAAAGUAUUUCAUACUCGUCCAAUUUUUCUGGCCAUUUUCCUUUAUUCAUUUUCUGUGAAGGGAAACAAGUGAAACUAGAAACUACUGUUACUCCUUUUAUUAAAGCACCUAGAUCGAUCAUGAAAGGCGUGAGAAGUCACAUUGGGUCGCCAAGCUCUUCUUUUAAAAGCGUGAAUAAAAGGAAAAGAAGACAGUCAACAACAAGUUGUGAAGUAGUUGAUGUGCUGUGGGUUUUGAACUUCAGUGCUUAACAACACUUAAGCCAAAGUUUGUACGUUGUCAUGAAAUAAGGCAACUAAAAUGCUCGGCUUCUUCUAAGUGCUCAGGACGUGCAGCUGCUAUUGUUGCCAUGUAUAAAGGUGGCGCUCUCAGGAAAUUCUAGUCGUGUUCCUUCCAGGUCAGGAUGGAUUUGUUUUGAGCUAUUCUAUUUUGUGUGUGUGAUAAUUUGUGUGGCAGAGGGAACAGUGACGUUCGUGGCCUUUAUCGACUCUUUCCUAUGUGCUAAGCAUUGCAUGAAGCGUGUACAGGCAGAUGCUGCCAUCAUCCCAGUUUUACCGAACGUUCAUACUAAAAGAAGGUUCUAGUCAGUUCCCAGCAGAGAUCAUAGUCUCGCCAUAACCAAAUGCUAGUUGACUUUAAUAUGCAGCGAUAGGGAGUUCCUGUCGUGGCGCAGUGGUUAACAAAUCCGACUAGGAACCAUGAGGUUGCGGGUUCGAUCCCUGCCCUUGCUCAGUGGGUUAACGAUCCGGCGUUGCCGUGAGCUGUGGUGUAGGUUGCAGA
rnacentral:lncRNA from 1 species